GACGUAGGGCGCGAGCGUUGUCCGGAUUUAUUGGGCGUAAAGAGCUCGUAGGCGGCUUGUCGCGUCGUCCGUGAAACCUGCAGCUCAACUGCAGGCUUGCGGUCGAUACGGGCAGGCUAGAGUUCGGUAGGGAGACGUGGAAUUCCUGGAUGUAGCGGUGAAAUGCGCAGACUAUCAGGAGGAACACCGGUGGCGAAGGCAGCUCGCUGGACGGUACUGACGCUGAGCGCGAAGCGUGGGGAGCAAACAGG
rnacentral:rRNA from 1 species